UACAGAGGGUGCAAGCGUUGUUCGGAAUUACUGGGCGUAAAGCGCGUGUAGGCGGCGGCGUAAGUCGAAUGUGAAAUCCCUUGGCUUAACCAAGGAAGUGCAUCCGAUACCGCGUCGCUUGAGUGCCGGAGGGGAUGGCGGAAUUCCUGGUGUAGAGGUGAAAUUCGUAGAUAUCAGGAGGAACACCUGUGGCGAAGGCGGCCAUCUGGACGGUAACUGACGCUGAGACGCGAAAGCGUGGGUAGCAAACAGG
rnacentral:rRNA from 1 species